UGAAUACGAGAUGCUACGGCGUCGAAGCAGUGUAUGUCAGACUUCCAAGAAAAGCUCGCAAUGUCAUAAAUAAAGAAUGCCUGUACCAUAACCGACACAGGUGGGUAGGUAGAGUAUACUAAGGGGCGCGAGAUAACUCUCUCUAAGGAACUCGGCAAAAUAACUCCGUAACUUCGGGAGAAGGAGUGCCUUCUUUAAGAAGGUUGCAAUAACAAGAUCCAAGCAACUGUUUAUCAAAAACACAGGUCUCCGCUAAGUCGUAAGACGAUGUAUGGGGGCUGACGCCUGCCCAGUGCCAGAAGGUUAAAGAAGUUGGUUAGCUUUUGCGAAGCUGAUGACUGAAGCCCUGGUGAACGGCGGCCGUAACAAUAACGGUCCUAAGGUAGCGAAAUUCCUUGUCGGGUAAGUUCCGACCCGCACGAAAGGCGUAAUGAUUUGGAUACUGUCUCGGAGAGGGACUCGGUGAAAUAGACUUGUCUGUGAAGAUGCGGACUACCUGCACCAGGACAGAAAAACCCUAUGAAGCUUUACUGUAACUUGAAAUUGAAAUUGGACUUUAUUUGCGCAGUAUAGGUGGAAGGCGUUGAAAGUAAUCUUGCGGGAUUAGUGGAGCCAUCAGUGAGAUACCACUCCUAUAAUGUUAGAUUUCUAACUUUGGAUCAUGAUCUGGUCAAAGAACAGUUUCAGGCGGGCAGUUUGACUGGGGCGGUCGCCUCCCAAAUGGUAACGGAGGCGUACAAAGGUUUCCUCUGAACGGGUAGAAAUCGUAUCUAGAGUGUAAAGGCAUAAGGAAGCUUGACUGUGAGACCUACAAGUCGAGCAGGGACGAAAGUCGGUCUUAGUGAUCUGACGGUGCUGAGUGGAAAGGCCGUCACUCAACGGAUAAAAGUUACUCUAGGAUAACAGGCUGAUCUCCCCCAAGAGUUCACAUCGACGGGGAGGUUUGGCACCUCGAUGUCGGCUCAUCGCAUCCUGGGGCGGUAGUACGUCCCAAGGGUUGGGCUGUUCGCCCAUGAAAGCGGUACGCGAGCUGGGUUCAGAACGUCGUGAGACAGUUCCAUAUCCGGUGUAGGCGUUAGAAUAUUGAGAGGAGCCUUCUUUAGUACGAGAGGACCGAGAAGGACAUACCUCUGGUGUACCAGUUAUCGUGCCAACGGUAAACGCUGGGUAGCUAUGUAUGGAGAGGAUAACCGCUGAAAGCAUCUAAGUGGGAAGCCCACCUCAAGAUGAGUAUUCUCAUC
rnacentral:rRNA from 1 species